GACGGACGCUGGCGGCGUGCCUAAUACAUGCAAGUCGAGCGAAGUUUUUCUGGUGCUUGCACUAGAAAAACUUAGCGGCGAACGGGUGAGUAACACGUAAAGAACCUGCCUCAUAGACUGGGACAACUAUUGGAAACGAUAGCUAAUACCGGAUAACAGUAUUUCUCGCAUGAGAGAUAUUUAAAAGUUGGUUAUGCUAACACUAUGAGAUGGCUUUGCGGUGCAUUAGCUAGUUGGUGGGGUAAAGGCCCACCAAGGCGACGAUGCAUAGCCGACCUGAGAGGGUGAUCGGCCACACUGGGACUGAGACACGGCCCAGACUCCUACGGGAGGCAGCAGUAGGGAAUCUUCCGCAAAGGGCGAAAGCCUGACGGAGCAACGCCGCGUGAGUGAAGAAGGAUUUCGGUUCGUAAAGCUCUGUUGUUAGGGAAGAAUGGAUAUGUAGUAACUAUACAUGUAAGAGACGGUACCUAACCAGAAAGCCACGGCUAACUACGUG
rnacentral:rRNA from 1 species